CCUAUGGGGUGCAGCAGGCGCGAAAACUUUGCAAUGCGGGAAACCGUGACAAGGGAACUCUGAGUGCCCGUAAAAUCGGGCUGUCCAUUGGUGUAAAAAACCAGUGAAGAAAGGGCCGGGCAAGACCGGUGCCAGCCGCCGCGGUAAUACCGGCGGCUCGAGUGGUGGCCACUAUUACUGGGCUUAAAGCGUUCGUAGCUGGUUUGUUAAGUCUCUGGGGAAAUCUUCCGGCUUAACCGGAAGGCGUCUCAGGGAUACUGGCAGACUAGGGACCGGGAGAGGUGAGAGGUACUCCAGGGGUAGGAGUGAAAUCCUGUAAUCCUUGGGGGACCACCUGUGGCGAAGGCGUCUCACCAGAACGGCUCCGACAGUGAGGGACGAAAGCUGGGGGAGCAAACCGGAUUAGAUACCCAAGUAGUCC
rnacentral:rRNA from 1 species